UAGUGUCAAUAUUAUUAAAUAUGUUAGUGAUGAAAGUAUCAUUCAUAUCGACACCUCAUAGGCCAAAUGGUGUAACUCACAAAAUAGCCGAAAUUAAGUUAGUUAAGUACAUAUCUCGAUUCUUCUCCAAAAAAUACAUUAGCUGGCCAAAUGAUAUAACCCACAAGAAAAACUAAAUUAUAAAAAAAACUGAAAAACAUAAAAUCUCCAAGUUUGGAGUAACUGUUUUAAAGAGUGGCCAGUUGAUGUAUCCCCCCAAGUGUAACCCUAUUUCUUAAAUGAUGGACCUAACAUGAACAAGACCAAAUGCAGUAAGCCAUAUUCAAAAAUAAGGUAAAAAAAAAUGUGCAUAAUUGUCAGGAGCCAUAUAAUGUAACCCACACCUGCUCACAUGUAUAUUAGCGUAAGAACUCAAGGAGUGAUCUGUGUUUGUUGUUUUGCUGAUAUUUUCAAUUUUUCUAAAAAAGUGCCAGACUAAUUUAUAAUAAAAGAGUGAAUUUGUCAAUAAUUAUCAUAAGGGCCAUAAUAAUGACGUCAAGCUCUUGAAGUAAAAAAAUUUUAGUUCUUGCUUUGGAGAGGAAUAUAACAAUUGAGGAUGACACCAUCCAGGAGGCAACUCAAAGUUUCGCUUCUUUAGUAGAUUCAGAUGCCAUUUAAAAAGAGCAAGAAGCACAUGAAAAUGUUGAAGACAGUGACAUAAACAAAUAUAUUUUGCAUCAGCUUACUCCAGUAGAACCAUUUUACUGUAUGACACCUGAUCAAGAACUAACAGAUAUUUUGACAAACAACAUAAAAGAAGCCGGAAGUUGUGAAAUACUAGCUGAUAAAAUAAUUUCUGAUUUUAUUCCAUCCACAGACGCAUUACCUGACAUUGCCUGUGAAUAUGUAAUUUUUACAACUGAACCACACAUAGAGUCUAUUCCAAAUGAUUUUCAUUUUCAAAUUCAGGAGAAGAUUAACUCUGAAGAGGAACCAGAAAUAUCGGGCAAUAAUAUCGAUCAAAAUGGGUUGGCAGACAUCAUUGAAGCCCAUACUCAGCAGAUUCCCACACUGGUAGUAGAAGAAGAAAUAGUUGAUGAAGCUGGUGUUAAAAAGAAGAACACGGGUAGUUUUAGAGAUAUACAAAAAAAGCUGCGUCUUUCAGGAAACCAAUAUCUACAACGAAAUAAAAAAGUAGUAAGAGAGAAACAAAUAAAAGAAAAUCCUUGCCAAAACAAAAAAUGCCAAUAUAAAUGUGCCACAAUUUUUACAGAAGAUUAAAGACAGGCAAUAUUUAAUAAUUUCUACGGUUUUACAAGUGAAGAGGAACAGAAAAAUUUUAUGUUAUAAUGCGUUAAAAGGGUUCCAAUAAAGCGCCGCUAUGGUGCUACUGGUGAAGAAAGCCGCCGAAAAUGUUCAAAGGCCUACUAUUUACCGCUAAAUGGUGAACAGAAACAAGUAUGUCAGCAAUUUUUGUUGGCUACUUUUUGUGUUUCUCAAAGAAGACUAAUGUAUUUGGAUGAAAAUAAAACUGAUAUGAAUACUCCAAAACCUGAGGGCCGCGGUAAGUUUGAACCCAAAAAUAAAACUCCUAGUAACGUUGUUGAUUAUUUAUGUUGUUCUUAAUUAUAUUUAUGAUGUUGUCGGGGAAAAACUACAAAACGUUACUUACCACAAGAGUUUAAAAAUGUAGCCAGUUUGUAUAAAAUCUAUAAACAGAACUGCUCAGAAAGUGAUCAACAAUCGGUUAAAGAAAAAUUCUUUAGAGAUUUUUUUAAAAGAAAACAUAAUAUAGGAUUCCAUCUGCCUAAAAAAGACAAAUGCUCGUUUUGUGAGUCCCAAGCAAAAGGAGAAACCAACAAUGAUGCACUUACUUUGCAUUUACGAGAAAAAGAAAACUCUUAUAAACUCCAUCUUAAAGAACAACAACGAGCCAAAACCAAUCUAAAUUUUGUAUGCGCUAGCUUCGACUUACAAAAAGUUCUCAAUACUCCCCAUGGAGACAGUAUGCUCCUCUAUUAUUCGCGAAAAUAUUCCUUCUAUAAUGAAACGUUUUAUGAGUCCGGCACUAAAAACGUUUAUUGUUUUCUUUGGGGUGAAGAGGAUGGUAAGAGAGGAGCGAAUGAAAUUUGCACAAUAAUGGAGAUGUAUCUUCAACGAGUGGAUGCUCGAAAAAUUAUAACGGAAGUGGCCUUGUUUUGUGACUCUUGUCCAGGGCAGAAUAAAAGUCACCAACUGUUAAGUUGCAUUGCUUGGUUUAUUAGAUCUGUUUCAGUUAAUAUUCAACAAAUAUCCCUUUCGUUUACCAGGUCACACCUAUAUGCCUGUUGAUUCUGUCCAUCCUUCUAUAGAAACGGCUAUAAAAAGAAAGACAAUUUGGGCUCCAUCGGAAUGGCCUACUAUUAUUCGUAAUGCAUGAAACGCAAAGCCAUACGAAGUUAUAAAGCUUGUAUUUUCGAGUUUUAAAACUUUAAAACAUUUCAGAAAAAUAUUUACCCUGAAUUGCUCAAGAAAACUGAUUCAGGAAAACAGAUUAAAUUUAAAAGUAUUCGAAGUUAUGUUUGCCAAAGACUGUGAUCAAAUAAAACUCUUCUACAUAUUUCAGGAAACUGAAGAGCACCAGUUACUAACUGUACCAAAAAAGAAUCAACUCACAAGGCACUCCAAACAAGUAAAGCCAUCUCAAUUAUACCAAAGUAAACUUUCAGUUUCGGAACAGAAAUUUAAGGAUCUAGAAAACCUUGUUAAAAAGGCAAUAAUACCAGGGAUGUACCACACCGAAUAUAUAAAUCUAAAACCCAGCUCUGAUCUACCAGACGUUUUAUCAGAAACUGAUGAAGAAGAUGAACUUAGUGAUGAUGAGAUACCCCUUAAAGAAUUACAACAACAGCUAUUGCAGAAAUCUACAAAAAAAAUUUAAAGUUUUUUUUUGUAUUUGCGCAGGUAUUUUUUACUUAAGUAUUAAGUAAAAUUUACUUAAGUAAAAAAAUUAUAAAAUAAAAGUUUUUUAUUUA